AUGUUCAUCGAUCCAACAUCAACCAUCCUUCUUCUCACCGAUAACCACCAUAGUCAUCCCUCUCAUCACUACCUUCCUCCAUCACCAGCUAUUUUUCUUCUUUGCUCCUGCUGUCAACAACCUUCUUCAACCGCUAGCAACUUAGCUCGCCACCUUCUCCAUUUUUCUGCUACGUUAACACAGUUCACCAUCACAACUCUCAGUUUCAUACGGAACGGUUGCCAAUUAAGUCUGUGA